UCCCUGGUGGCUCAGCUGGUAAAGAAUCUGCCUGCAAUGCAGGAGACCUGGGUUUGAUCCCUGGCUUGGGAA
rnacentral:tRNA from 1 species